GUUGAAAACACCGGUUUUGUCUAAUCACCGAAAGUUAAGCAAUGUCUAGCUCGGUUAGUACUUAGAUGGGUGACCGCCUGGGAAUACCAGGUGUUGUAG
rnacentral:rRNA from 1 species